rnacentral:ncRNA from 1 species
AAAACUUUUACUACGAAGAAAGGAAUGAUGGAGUAACGCCCUGAAACUUUCUCCUUGAUACUCCGAAUAGCGUCUUAAUCAGCAAAGAUUUAGAGGUUAUAAGCUCGGUGAAGUCGGCUGAGAACUACCGUAAGUGAGAGAAAUUAAAUUAUCACACGAAAAUAUGUAGUAUUUGAUACUAAGUAGUGAUAGGUCGGAGGUCUAUAAA